UUCCAGUCUAUAGUCUCACGCAUAAAUUAUCUCUCUAACUUAAGCAUCAGAAGGACAAUAAAGACAUACAUCGACGCCUUUGUUCCAAGUAUCGAAAGAUCUCAUUCCUGUUUAUCUCAGUCGUCAAGCUUUGAAAUCCACAUGUACGAUUUUUUGUAGCAUCAUUAGCACAGUAUAUGGAAGGCGCUACCAAAAGCCAUGGUUAAUACAUGUUCAGGUCUUCUUCAACAAACUCAACUGUUCCAAACCUCCUCCUCCUAAAGAUCCCUUGUUCCUCAAGAAAAAUUAUCAAAAAUACCAGUGCUCCAACUAGCAGUUGUAACCGUUGGAGCCUUUGAAGAGCUUCGCCAACAAGUUGCCAUGCUAACUCAAUUGUUGAGUCAAUAAAAUUUACAUCCAUCACCUACACGGUUAUCCCAAGCGAGUUUGAUGGCCGAUGCUCGAGCUCGAGUUCCAUGCCCUGUUCCUGAGGUUUGUGGAGCGGGGACCUCUAGUGUUCAUAUGGCCUCAACCUCGAGAUUAGUGACAAUAGAGUUUGGUGAACUUGCCAGGAUCAUUGAAGAUAGGAUUAUGGCAGGCCAUUCCAUAACAAUAAGGGGGUAACAGCCCCUAACGCUCUAUUCAAACUCAACGUAUUAUCAUAUCCUUUACUAGAUGGAUUCUAGUAUCAAUCAUAUAAAAGAAUAUGAUGGGAUUAUCAACCCGAUCAACCACUUUAAUAUGUAUAUCGAUGUCAUGAAUUUGCAAGUUGUACCAGACCAGGUGAUGUGCAAGGCUUUUCCACAAACUUUGACUAAUGCUGCCAAUGAUUGGUUCUCAACCUUGGAACCCAAUUCUAUGUCCUCAUUGUCAGAUUUGGCCGACAAACUCUUUGCUUUCUUCGUAAAUAGUAAGCGCAUCAGGAAAACAGUAGUUUCCUUUAUGCAGCGGACAAAAUGAAACCCGAUGUGAUUUUAUGACAAGGUUUAAUAAAGAAAUGCUCCAAAUACUCGACCUACAUAUUACAUCAGCUGUCUUUGCCCUCACAUAUGUCAUAAGGUAUGAUGUAUGUUAGCUAAAAGUACAAACCGCGAGUACACAAGUUGUUUACAAGUAAUACAAUGGACUUUUUUUAGUCCGAGUCAAUCCCUUGAAGAGCGUUUCUUCCAAUUAUACGAGAGUUUAUUCAAAUUAGCGAUA
rnacentral:lncRNA from 1 species